AGUAGGUAAGCCGUAGGUGCGCCGUCCAGCGGUCGCGGUGGGAGUAGUGUGCAGUGCAGUGCCGCGGGGCUGCGCGGCUCACUUCCGCGUGGACGGGUCGUAUGGACCAGUUGCCUGCUACACGGAUCGCGAAGACGAACUGACGGUGGUUGGAACCCACGAGCUCGUGCGGAGGGUGCAGGGACGGGACGAGCUCACGAGCACGCGGCGGUGGAAACGGGCACCGAGCAGCUACUCCGCGUGGUAGGCCGUCAAGGUUUCGAGUGGACCAGGUGCAUGGGUCACAGCGCUCAAGGAUCAUUGGUGGUUUGGACGGUGGGAUGUGGCCCGUGUCCGUGCACCGGGUGCACGGGAUCGGGACAGGGAGGGGUGGAAGGGUAACUUGCCAGUUGCCACGCGUGGAAAAACUGCCGCGUGGUUCCGGGGUAAAGAGAGCGGCGCGGCCUGUCCUGUCGCUGUGGGCGCGGGGCCCGGCCACCGGCAACUCCCCGCUCGGCGGUGAACCGUCGCGCUCCGUGUGACAGGUGGGGCUAUGGUAUGUAGGAUCACGUAGUCAGUGACUUGAGAACCCGGGUUGGGUGCCUCUCGGCGGGCUUGCCGGUUGCUGCGGGAGGCGGUGGGGCGCACAGCGCGUCGGCAGGAUUGGUCGCACGGCCGAAAUCCACUUUAGCGUGCCCACGUGUCAAUUGAGACUUGGGAUCUCUGGGAGGGCCGGAGGAGUUCGUCGCUUCGCCUGGCCCGAGCACUACCAUUUUGCUCCCCACAACACAAACGAAUAGAGAUAAGGGCAUGUAUUCGGGGGCGGAUGUACGUCCGAAGCUGUCUGGGCUGUAGUCCCGGUCGCGGCCCAGCUAAAGCGAAUAGCGACCCGCGGCCCAUCAAGUUAUCGGUCACGCAGUCACGCAGAGCGACAGCCGGCAGAGCCGCAGUCGUCCCUCCAGCCUCCAGCACGCCACUACGCGUCUAUGCCUUCCUCCAGCUCCAUCUGGCAGCCGCCACUACCACUAGCCCACUCGCCUCGCGCCCGGAGGCCAGACCGCCGGAGGCCGGAGAACCGCCACGGGCGCUCCCUUCUGGUCCUGGGCUCCUAGCCGGCUGGCCUCUUUCCGUCCUUCGCCAGUUCGCCUCACGCCCUCACCGCUGCGGUGCGCCGGCGUCCGGAGUCCAGACAAGCAAAGCAAGCAAGCCGUGAAGGAAGCAUUGAAGCCAUGAAGUAAACUAAGCAAGCAGUGAAGCCCGGAGUCCAGACAAGCAAAGCAAGCAAGUCCAGUCAGCCGAACAGGGGCGGCCGGAUGGACGCGGACUGCAGACAAGCAAGCAAAUGGCUUUGGUGAAGUUAGAUUCAGAAUGAAGUCUAUUGGCCAUCCUCCUUCCAAUCCAAAGAAAAUAACAAUUGAAUCAAGUCAAGAAGUAUUCACUGUUGAGAUCCCCUGUAUUGGGAAUAAUGCCAACAACCCAAGCAAAUGAUUCCCUAAAGCAAAUGAAGCAACUUUCUGUUAGGAGUAAUACAAAGCGGUCUGCUGGACGUGGAAAAAAAGAAUCUGAUGUAAGUGGAAACAUAGAUGACAAUGAUGAUUUCAUGUCUACCCAAGAAGAAUCGACAUGUUAGAUUUGAUGAGAAACCAACGCCUCCUCAGCGAUAAUUGCCACGCAGACCUAUUAUUUCUCCUUCACCAAAUCACCCAAAGCAAAAAAACAUUGAUGAAGAUGCAACCAUCAAGCAAACAACUGUGGUGAAGAAUAGAAGCGAAAAGAAAACCAAAGACAUAAGAACACAGGUUUGUGACAGCGACAACUAAUUUUAUUAUUAUUGCAAUAGUUAUUGAACAUAAUACAUACUAAAUAAUUCAUAAAAAAUUUGAUUAAUAUUACGUUCAUAAUAUAGAUACUAUCUAUAUAUUCUAAUGCUACCUAAUCAUGUUAGUUCAGUUAACUACAUGUUGUUAAUUGGUAUUCUAUGCCGUCUUCAUUUAGUAUUUAUGAAUCAAAAUCAUACAUGUUGUUAUUAUGCCUUUUCAUUUAGCAACAUGAAUUAUUGGGAUGUUCAUUUUUUAUUAUAUUUUUUAACAUGUUUCUAUAUGUUUUCAUACAAAAACUGAACAUCCGUUGCAUCCCGUAUGAUGUCAUCUUGUCUAUAUGGAUAAUGAAUGACCGUUAACGCGAGGCUGUAGCGAGGAAAGACUUCCAAAGUAUAAUGGAAAUGUCAACAAAUGGCCUUGUUGUUGGAUCGUUAUUGAAUUGGUUGAUGGACAAGCUGGAUCCAGUUGACAUGACCAUACGACCUGGCCUAGGAAAGGAGCUGAAGAUAACAAAGGAGACUGUUCGCCUAAUUUUCGGUUUGCCCAGUGCUGGAGGUGGGAAACCAUUUAUGGAUUGGUAUGGAGAAGUUGAUGCUGCUGGCAGGCUCAUGAAAGAACUCAAAAUAUCGAAGGAUGAGUUUGAUAUUGCCACCCUACAGGAAAUAAUUGUCAAGGGUCGUGACGAUGAUUUAACCAUCAGAAUACAUGGACCAGCUCCAAGACAUCGAUUGGUGCCAGCUAGUCUUAACGAUUUGUGUGAGGCUGCUGCAAAAUGGCAUAAAAGGAACACUAAUCAUGUCACCGCUACGAUAUAUGGGUGCUCCAUAGUCACUGUGAUAUAUUAUCUAGACCAUCUUCAUCACGAGGUAGCUCCAGAGAACAAAUAUAGCACUCCACGUAUUAAAUACUUUGACAAAGAGACAAUUAAUGCACUGACCAAGGCUGACAUGAGGAAGCCACAUCAUGUUGGCGAAACGUAUGGUCAUUGUCAUCAGGACAGAAACAUGCUACGUUGCUGCUCCUGAACGACCAACAAAUGACAUGUUCCAUAUUUACGUUCCUCGCAUGAAAGACUUGAUCUCUAGCAAGGCUCACCGCAAAUUAGUAUCAAAAUAGCUCCAGCUAGCUGGGACCUUCGCAGACAUGAUUGAUGAUGUCAUUCGACUCGGGUCACAGGUUCAAGGAUCACAACAACCAGACAUUCAAAUAGAACAACCUACCCAGUCUGAUGCCAACAUUCCCAAUGACCUGCACACGGAUGCAGUUGAUGAUGUGAUGCCAGAAGCACAUACUGUAACCAGUGGCGGAGCACCCGUUAUGGCUAACUAUGGCUAGAGCCAUACCUAAAAAUCAUGUUUGGUGUAGUGGUAAGUUCCUACUGCUUGCAAUCAGCAGGUUCUAGGUUUGAGUCCUAUGUAUUGCAUCAUGUUUUUUUUUCUUUUUUUGUUCUUCUUCAGCCAUACCUCAUUAUUAUUUUGUCCUCCGCCACUGACUGUAACACCCAAAAUUUGGGGUAUAAAAUUUCUUCUCUAAUGUCUACCAAA